rnacentral:rRNA from 1 species
AACGCGUGGGUAAUCUACCUCCGAAUCGGGGAUAACCCGCCGAAAGGCGAGCUAAUACCGGAUAAUAUCUUUAAAACUUCGGUUUUAAAGAUCAAAGGUGGUCUCUACAUGUAAGCUACUGUUUGGAGAUGAGCCCGCGUACCAUUAGCUUGUUGGUAGGGUAAUGGCCUACCAAGGCUUCGAUGGUUAGCUGGUCUGAGAGGAUGAUCAGCCACACUGGAACUGACACACGGUCCAGACUCCUACGGGAGGCAGCAGUGAGGAAUUUUGCGCAAUGGGGGAAACCCUGACGCAGCAACGCCGCGUGAGUGAUGAAGGCUUUCGUGUCGUAAAACUCUGUCAAGUGGGAAGAAAAUGCUUGAUGCUAAUACCAUCUUGCACUGACGGUACCACUGAAGGAAGCACCGGCUAACUCCGUGCCAGCAGCCGCGGUAAUACGGGGGGUGCAAGCGUUAUUCGGAAUUAUUGGGCGUAAAGGGCGCGUAGGCGGUCUCUUAAGUCAGAUGUGAAAGCCCGGGGCUCAACCCCGGAAGUGCAUUUGAAACUAAGGGACUUGANUAUGGGAGAGGGAAGUGGAAUUCCUGGUGUAGAGGUGAAAUUCGUAGAUAUCAGGAGGAACACCGGUGGCGAAGGCGACUUCCUGGACCAAUACUGACGCUAAGGCGCCGAAGGCGUGG